CCUACGGGGUGCUGCAGUGAGGAAUAUUGGUCAAUGGGCGCGAGCCUGAACCAGCCAAGUAGCGUGAAGGAUGACUGCCCUACGGGUUGUAAACUUCUUUUAUAAAGGAAUAAAGUGAGGCACUUGUGCCUUUUUGUAUGUACUUUAUGAAUAAGGCACGGCUAACUACGUGCCAGCAGCCGCGGUAAUACGGAGGAUCCGAGCGUUAUCCGGAUUUAUUGGGUUUAAAGGGAGCGUAGAUGGGUUGUUAAGUCAGUUGUGAAAGUUUUCGGCUGAACCGUAAGAUUGCAAUUGAUACUGGCAGCCGUGAGUACAGGUGAGGUAGGCGGAAUUCGUGGUGUAGCGGUGAAAUGCUUAGAUAUCACGAAGAACUCCGAUUGCGAAGGCAGCCUACUGAACUGCCACUGACAUUGAUGCUCGAAAGUGUGGGUAUCAAACAGGAUUAGAUACCCGGGUAGUC
rnacentral:rRNA from 1 species